rnacentral:rRNA from 1 species
AGGACGAACGCUGGCGGCGUGCCUAAUACAUGCAAGUCGAACGGUCUUUCUAUGGAAGCUUGCUUCCACUGAAAAGAUAGUGGCGAACGGGUGAGUAACACGUGGGUAACCUGCCCAUAAGAGGGGGGAUAACAUCCGGAAACGGGUGCUAAUACCGCAUAGUUUUCUUGAUCGCAUGAUCGGGAAAGGAAAGACGGCCUUUGUGCUGUCGCUUAUGGAUGGACCCGCGGCGUAUUAGUUAGUUGGUGAGGUAACGGCUCACCAAGACGAUGAUACGUAGCCGACCUGAGAGGGUGAUCGGCCACAUUGGGACUGAGACACGGCCCAAACUCCUACGGGAGGCAGCAGUAGGGAAUCUUCCGCAAUGGACGAAAGUCUGACGGAGCAACGCCGCGUGAGUGAAAGAAGGUUUUCGGAUCGUAAAACUCUGUUGUCAGAGAAGAACAAGUUGGAGAGUAACUGCUCCAGCCUUGACGGUAUCUGACCAGAAAGCCACGGCUAACUACGUGCCAGCCGCCGC